rnacentral:rRNA from 1 species
GACGAACCGUGCGAACGUUAUUCGGAAUCACUGGGCUUAAAGCGCGUGUAGGCGGAUGGGGACGUCGGUCGCUGAAAUCCCCCGGCUCAACCGGGGAACGGGCGCCGAAACGCCCCGUCUGGAGGGACGUAGGGGGACCUGGAACUUCCGGUGGAGCGGUGAAAUGCGUUGAGAUCGGAAGGAACGCCCGUGGCGAAGGCGACUACCUGGCCUGUUCUUGACGCUGAGGCGCGAAAGCUAGGGGAGCAAACGGG